rnacentral:rRNA from 1 species
AAGUAGCCAGGUUAACCGYAUAGGGGAGCCGUAGGGAAACCGAGUCUUAACUGGGCGACAGUUGCUUGCAUUAGACCCGAAACCGAGUGAUCUAGCCAUGGGCAGGUUGAAGGUUGAGUAACAUCAACUGGAGGACCGAACUCACUAACGUUGAAAAGUUAGGAGAUGACCUGUGGCUAGGGGUGAAAGGCCAAUCAAACUCGGAGAUAGCUGGUUCUCCCCGAAAGCUAUUUAGGUAGCGCCUCGGACGAACACUACUGGGGGUAGAGCACUGUUAAGGCUAGGGGGUCAUCCCGACUUACCAACCCUUUGCAAACUCCGAAUACCAGUAAGUGCUAUCCGGGAGACACACGGCGGGUGCUAACGUCCGUCGUGGAGAGGGAAACAACCCAGACCGCCAGCUAAGGUCCCCAAGUUAUCGCUAAGUGGGAAACGAUGUGGGAAGGCUCAGACAGCCAGGAUGUUGGCUUAGAAGCAGCCAUCAUUUAAAGAAAGCGUAAUAGCUCACUGGUCGAGUCGGCCUGCGCGGAAGAUGUAACGGGGCUAAGCGAUACACCGAAGCUGCGGCAAUGUCCUUAUGGAUAUUGGGUAGGGGAGCGUUGUGUAAGCYGUUGAAGGUGWGCUGAGAGGCWUGCUGGAGGUAUCACAAGUGCGAAUGCUGACAUGAGUAACGAUAAAGGGGGUGAAAAACCUCCUCGCCGGAAGACCAAGGGUUCCUGUCCAACGUUAAUCGGGGCAGGGUAAGUCGGCCCCUAAGGCGAGGCCGAAAGGCGUAGUCGAUGGGAAACGGGUUAAUAUUCCCGUACUGCURCUUACUGCGAUGGGGGGACGGAGAAGGCUAGGUGRGCCUGGCGAUGGUUGUCCAGGUUCAAGUGCGUAGGCUGAUUUCUUAGGCAAAUCCGGGAAAUCAAGGCCGAGACACGAUGUCGAGCCACCAAGGUGGUGAAGUCAUUGAUGCCAUGCUUCCGGGAAAAGCCUCUAAGCUUCAGGUAAGUAGCAACCGUACUCCAAACCGACACAGGUGGUCGGGUAGAGAAUACCAAGGCGCUUGAGAGAACUCGGGUGAAGGAACUAGGCAAAAUGGUACCGUAACUUCGGGAGAAGGUACGCUGCCCGCGGUGAAGUCCCUWGCGGAUGGAGCUAUGGGCAGUCGCAGAUACCAGGUGGCUGCAACUGUUUAUUAAAAACACAGCACUGUGCAAAAUCGAAAGAUGACGUAUACGGUGUGACGCCUGCCCGGUGCCGGAAGGUUAAUUGAUGUGGUUAUCGCAAGAGAAGCCAUUGAUUGAAGCCCCGGUAAACGGCGGCCGUAACUAUAACGGUCCUAAGGUAGCGAAAUUCCUUGUCGGGUAAGUUCCGACCUGCACGAAUGGCGUAAUGAUGGCCACGCUGUCUCCACCCGAGACUCAGUGAAAUUGAAAUCGCAGUGAAGAUGCUGUGUACCCGCGGCUAGACGGAAAGACCCCGUGAACCUUUACUACAGCUUGGCACUGAACAUUGAGCCUACAUGUGUAGGAUAGGUGGGAGGCUUUGAAGCGGCGACGCCAGUUGCUGUGGAGCCAUCCUUGAAAUACCACCCUUGUAUGUUUGAUGUUCUAACUUAGCCCCGUUAUCCGGGGUGAGGACAGUGCCUGGUGGGUAGUUUGACUGGGGCGGUCUCCUCCCAAAGUGUAACGGAGGAGCACGAAGGUGGGCUAAUCACGGUCGGACAUCGUGAGGUUAGUGCAAUGGCAUAAGCCCGCUUAACUGCGAGAGUGACGGCUCGAGCAGGUACGAAAGUAGGUCAUAGUGAUCCGGUGGUUCUGAAUGGAAGGGCCAUCGCUCAACGGAUAAAAGGUACUCCGGGGAUAACAGGCUGAUACCGCCCAAGAGUUCAUAUCGACGGCGGUGUUUGGCACCUCGAUGUCGGCUCAUCACAUCCUGGGGCUGAAGUCGGUCCCAAGGGUAUGGCUGUUCGCCAUUUAAAGUGGUACGCGAGCUGGGUUUAGAACGUCGUGAGACAGUUCGGUCCCUAUCUGCCGUGGGCGUUGGAUGAUUGAGGGGAGCUGCUCCUAGUACGAGAGGACCGGAGUGGACGAACCGCUGGUGUUCGGGUUGUGUCGCCAGACGCAUUGCCCGGUAGCUAAGUUCGGCACAGAUAAGCGCUGAAAGCAUCUAAGCGCGAAGCUGGCCCCGAGAUGAGUCAUCCCUAGAGCYUCGAGCUCUCUAAAGGGUUGUUCUAGACGAGAACGUUGAUAGGCAGGGUGUGUAAGCGCUGUGAGGCGUUGAGCUAACCUGUACUAAUGGCCCGUGAGGCUUAACC